AUUUAACGGCUGGCAGCUAGAAGGGGAACGUUUCUACUUAGAGGUCAUUUCCUUUGGGAGUUUUCUGGCAAGUCUUGAUCCACAGAAAGGGGUAGAAGACUCUACACUUGCUCUUGUUAAACCUUGUCAGAUUCCUUCCUGCUCAACUCUCCAGUUUGUCCAGAUCUUGUUGAGUGGCAGCAGAGCCUUUAGGAGAAAGACAGAUGUGCUCCUCUCUCUGAUUCAGAUUGAGGUCUUUGAAGAAAACUGCAUCAACUCAUCUGACCAGAAGAUGAUGGUGAAACUGAGGAGAGACUUACUUAUGUCUUUCCUGAGACCAGGCUGUUGAGUGACUGGAAAUGUUCCUGAAGAGUGUAUGCUAUGGCAGGUUCCUUUGGAUGGGAAGAGUAUUAAGGUCUGUCAUACUGACCGCAGUGUGUCUGUUGAAACUGUCUGUCAUGUUGUCACAAAAAAACCUGUAUAUAUCAGGGACUAAACUCUAACCCAAUGUACAUCACCAUGAAUUCUGAGCAAGGUCACAGCAGCCAGUGGAUUUCUGUCAGAUUUAUUGCUAUGUUAAAGAAUAAUGUAUAGCCAUGGAAGAUGAUGUGGUUUAAGGUCUCUCAAAAGACUGAGUCAGAAUUGAAAGUUCAGCUAUAUUAUUUGAGGAUUCACUUUUUUGUCCAGACUGUCCCUUCAUCCUAUGUCAUUUCUAUUUCUGAUUACUACCCUGCUCCUCAGAGGGCAUGAAAAUAUGUAACUGAUCAUCUUCUUGUUCAGUUUUUAUAGAUUACUUAGAUAUUCAAAAUAAAUCUCUGUGUGUUGCGGAUCAAAGAGGACAAUUGCUCUCGCCAAAGCAGUACCAUAACUGAAUUAGCAUUUAAUUUUUUUUUUUGUUGUUGUUAAUUUUAUGUGGAGAGCAUCACACUAAUUUACCUGCUGUGACUAGUUAGGUCUUCAGUAAGAUUACAGGUAGGAGAGCCAGAGAAUUAGAAUUUGAGUUCAUGGUUCCACCAGUAUUUCAGCUGAUCAAAACAUUUAGACAGAUGUAAAUCAAUUGCUUAAUUAAAAAAUACAUAUUAAAAAAAUGAAAGGGAUAGAAUAAUAUGAUAUGAAAAGUUUUCUUUUUUAGCUUAACAUAUAAGCAUAAGUGUUCAAAAAACUCAAACUUUGUUUGCACUUUUUUGAGUCAAUUUUUUGCUUUUUUUCUUUAGUUACUUUCUCCUUUAAAAUUAAACUGACAUCAAUUCUCAAAUAUAAUUUCAAAAUUAUUAAUUGAACCAUUAUGCUCUGAUCAUUUUGAAAGUAAAGGUCUAGCUUCACAGUUAUAUUUAUGAAGGAGUUCUGCAAAAUGUUAACAAAUUUCACCAAGAUUCAACAGUCAUUCUUUACACUGUAAUUGAACUAAGUUUUAGUAAUGAUUGUUCCUGAUGAAUAAUGUCUGUAUCUUUAACCUUUUUGUCCUUAUCAGAUCAUGGUAUGUUGUUUCAUGCAUUAGUUACGUUUUUUCAGUCUAUUUGCUGUUAUUCAUUUAAAAUAUUAAUAUUAAAAUAAUAAAAUUAUGAGUAUAAUUAAAAUUAAUUGAAUUUAUUAAAAUUUAUUAAUAUUAAUUUGUUUUUUUAAUGAGCAUGAAUAUGUACGUUGUGUAGAAAUCUAAAGCCCCAGGAAGUGAUAGAAAUUAUGAAAGACUUAAUACAAAUCAUUCCUGAAUUGGUAUUGCAGCCGUAUAUAAAAGAAAUGCUAAUAGGUUGACUAUUUUAUCCUCGAAUAAAGUGUGUUAUUAUACUGAAAAAGGCUGAUCGUCAAAAGGAGAUGGCAAUUUUAAUUGUUACCAUUGCCAGCUAAAAGUGGCCUGUGUUUGGCUUUUCAAAAUGCAGAUGUCCUAUGUAGAUUCCAGUGAGAGCUGAGUAAUACUAGCAACUCUUCUAUUUGUAAUAUUUUUUCGUUUAGAUAAAUGAUUUCAAAUGUUAUCAUGAAAUUAUUAAUAAUACUUAUUAAUAUAUUUAUUUCAAUUUGACUUUCAAACUCCUGCAAUAAAUAUACCGUG
ensembl:lncRNA